CUCGUGCUCCGCAUCCCCUCCAGCAAUCGUCAGUCUCCAGUUUGUGCAUUCUGUGUAGUUUGAUUGGGGUAGUGUACCACCUAAACAUAGUUUUCCAAGCCUGCUCCUGAAGGGUGACACAUAUUGAGACUGUAGCAUUCGCCUCCCAUAUCUCCUGCCAUUCGACCCCCUCCAGAACCUCCCCGAGGUCGGUCUCCCAUUGGUCCGCGUAGGACAAUCUUUCCCAUUCUCCAUUUUCUU